UAAUACAGAGGGUGCAAGCGUUGUCCGGAAUCACUGGGCGUAAAGGGCGCGUAGGCGGCCCGGUAAGUAGGGGGUGAAAUCUCACGGCUCAACUGUGAGGCUGCCUUCUAGACUGCCAGGCUCGAGCACAGUAGAGGCUGGUGGAAUUCCCGGUGUAGCGGUGGAAUGCGUAGAGAUCGGGAAGAACAUCUGUGGCGAAGGCGGCCAGCUGGGCUGUUGCUGACGCUGAUGCGCGACAGCGUGGGGAGCAAACAGGAUUAGAUACCCUGGUAGUCCACGCCGUAAACGAUGGGCACUAGGCGUCGGGGGGAGCGACCCUCUCGGUGCCGUCGCUAACGCAAUAAGUGCCCCGCCUGGGGAGUACGGUCGCAAGACUG
rnacentral:rRNA from 1 species